CCCAGGGUAAGACCUCCUUGAGUAUCAUCUCUGGCAGGUGGUUCUAUAACCUCCACUGUAAAACCUCCAGCCAUGGGACGCUCACCACUUUUUAUGAGUGGCCUGAGUUGAGACAUUCUUCCUUGUGCUGAGUGGAAAGGCAUUUCCACCACAAUAAUUUCUACCUGUUGAUUUCAAUUAUGCCUGUUGGAGCAAUACCAAAAAAAGUUAUUCUUCCCCAUAAUAAACUUUCAAAUAUUUCAACCUCUCAAGCAGUUAUUGUUUCCUUCUCAGGAUCUCUCUUCCCUUUUCCAGACUCUUAGUCCAGGGUCCUUCUCUGAUUAUGGUUGGAGUGAGAGUGUUGAUUAUGUGCCAAGUGCUUUAGACCUGUCUUUUAGAUAAAGUCUUGAGGGAAAUUUAUGGUGUCACUAUCUUCCCAGUAUUUGGGAUGAGAAGACCAAGGGCUAGAGAAGUCAUAUGACCUGCCCCAGCUCCCACAGCUAAGUAGCUAAAUUGAAAUUUGAACACUCUAUCUGACUCCAAAUUCUACAUCCUCAACUAACAUGUUAUGCUUCAGAAUUUUUCUUUCUUUGUUUUUAAAUGCGAAAUAACAAAUGCUAAAUGUGCAUUAAAUCAAGGUAUGUAAAAGUAAAACCGUCCAGUUUAAAAUUCUACUCUAGAGGCUGCCACUGCCAAAUUUGAGAAGGCCCUCUGCAGCCCACCACCACAAGCUGGAAGUUAUAGUCACAGCAGAGGGGAGCCUUCGCCUCCUUUGCUCUGGACACCAUCUGCAGUGACUGCGGCCUCCAACUGCACUGUGGGCUUGGAGCAAUUGUGAGAUCCAUGAGAGCCCAGAAAAUAUCUUAGGAUCCCUAGUGCUUAGCACAGAGCUUGGCAUAUGGAGGUAAGCAAAAAGAUUUUUUAAAUCCAGUUGUCCAUCCACUCAUCCAUUCAAUAUGAAUGAGAGAACAGCCCUUUUUUAAAGAGGGAUGGCCUUUUCUUAAAAGACCUCUAUCUUGAGGCAUUAUUUUCCCUUAUUCAAGUCCCAGUUUAUUAGGUCCUGGUACUUAAUGGUGAUAAAAGGGCAUUAUUAUUGAAAGGUUGGGUAUGUCAGGGGCACAAUAUUAGUUCAAACAGUGAACUGAAGCUUUUUUGCCUGGAAUCCAUUGGCUUCUUUGAUGGGGAUA
rnacentral:lncRNA from 1 species